AGAGAGCUGGCCUGGCUCACAAAUCAAGCACUAUUCAGGACCAGACUGCACGGCCCGCAAGCGUUAUCUGCACAAAGAAAGGUUUCUGUUCAUGGAGAGAGAGACUGCGUGAUCUAGACAGGAAGCCUGGCCCAGCUCCCAGCUAGGCUUCAUCUGAAGAGAAAACUUGUCCAGCCCAUCAAACAACCAUGCUAUCUCAGUGGAGCUGGCUCAGGGCAAAAGCAGCUGUGAAGAGGGCAGCCGGAGCAUGAUGAAACAUGGGGCAGGGUGGAGACCUUGACGACUUUCUGGCUAAAAUACACCUUCUCCAGUGACAUGGCCCCCAAAUACAUCCUCCAACUCAUGUUUUGCUGAUGUAAAUAAGAACAUAAGUUGAAAAGGGGAACUGGUGGCUAGCAAUGCUGUUCUGAAUUUGUUAUGCAAGGAUCCUGGACGCCCCUAGACUCAUUGCAUUGCAACAGAGAGAAUCCUUCUCCUUUCUGAGAUCUAGCUGAGGAAGUGAAAGAGGCUUGGACAUUUACUUCAGAUAACAUUGCUUCAGAGCAAGCAAAAGGAGUUGAAGACUACUUUCUUCACCCUACAGAUUCACCCAACAGCCAUACAAGAAGAAGGGGGCCAGUACAAGCCCCCUUCAUUCAGUGCAGUAUGCAAGGCAGUCUGUAUGUUGGCGUGUGUUGCCCACAGCGAAGAGUACUCAGCCUAAUAAAUCCUGCUCCCUGCAGCACACAGAGCCAACACUACUCGUGUCAACAAAUGCUGCUCAGCGAUGAACGCCCACUGGACGCAGCCCAAAUCCCCCAAGAGGGCUAUGAGCAGGUGUACUCGCCGGCCUCUGCGAGCACUGUGAGCAGGGCUGGGCAGCAGCACCCCAUGGUGGCUGCUCACAGGGAGGGCUGCAGGACACUGCAGGGCUGCAGUGGGAGAGGAAGCAGAGGAAAAGCUUGCAUGUGCAGUGAUACUGUCUGGGGAACACCUCCGGUAAUGUACACUCUUCUGCUGAAGAACAGAUAACCACAUUUGGCAAAUACAUUGUGCUAAUAAAUGUAAACUCUG
rnacentral:lncRNA from 7 species